ensembl:snRNA U2 U2 spliceosomal RNA
GUUGCUGCUCGGCCUUUUGGCUAAGAUCAAGUGUAGGAUCUGUUCUUAUCAGUUUAAUAUCUGAUACGUCCUCUAUCUGAGGACAAUAUACUAAAUGGAUUUUUGAAAGUAGGAGUGGGAAAAGGAGCUUGCUCCAUCCACUCCACGCGUGGGCCUGGUGUUGCAGUACUUCCAGGAAUGGUGCGCCCCCU